rnacentral:rRNA from 1 species
GAUGAACGCUGGCGGCGUGCUUAACACAUGCAAGUCGAACGAAGCAUUUGCGACAGAUUUUUUCGGAAUGAAGUUGCUUAUGACUGAGUGGCGGACGGGUGAGUAACGCGUGGGUAACCUGCCUUGUACUGGGGGAUAGCAGCUGGAAACGGCUGGUAAUACCGCAUAAGCGCACAAUGUUGCAUGACAUGGUGUGAAAAACUCCGGUGGUAUAAGAUGGACCCGCGUCUGAUUAGCUAGUUGGUGAGAUAACAGCCCACCAAGGCGACGAUCAGUAGCCGAGCUGAGAGAGUCACCGGACACAUUGGGACUGAGACACAGUCGAGACUCCUACGGGAGGCAGCAGUGGGGAAUAUUGCACAAUGGAGGAAACUCUGAUGCAGCGACGCCGCGUGAGUGAAGAAGUAAUUCGUUAUGUAAAGCACUAUCAGCAGGGAAGAUAGUGACGGUACCUGACUAAGAAGCUCCGGCUAAAUACGUG